rnacentral:lncRNA from 10 species
CAGAUGGGCCUCAGUCAGAAGGCCCCACAUUCUGGCCCCAGGAAAAAAAGGAGAAACCAGGAGCCACAUCCCAUAUUCUGAAGCAGCUGGAGACAGCGCGAUAGAAAGGCGGCCGGCGAAAGGGCUCCCAGGUUUCCACUCGGCUGGCUUUGUAUGAGCAGCAGGACCCUUUUCUGGAACAUCCUCCAGCAUGGAAGUCUGAGGUGUACCAGCUGCUGUGGGGACAAUCUGGAAGAGACAUCGUCAAGGUGCACCCUCAGUGUCUGUGGAGGCUGAAUAAUGCCCUCCCCACCCAAGGAUGCCCAUGUUCUAAUCUUCAGAACCCAUGCAUGUCACCUUCUAUGACAAAAGGAACUUCACACAUGGGAUGGAGUGAAGGGUCUGGAGAUGGGGAGAUGAUCCCGGAUGAUCCAGGGAACCCCAGAGGUUACCACAAGGUCCUUACGAGAAGAAGGCAGGAGGGAGAAAAUCAGAGAAGGAGCGGCAAGGACAAAGCGGGGUCAGGGUGAGGUGAGGAAGGGGCUGAGAGCCAAGGGGUGCAGGCAUCUCUAGAAGCUGGACACGACAAGGGAACGGGUUCUCUUUGGGAGCCUCUAGAGGGAACCAGCCCUGCCCACACCUUGAUUUCAGACUUUUGUCCUCCAGAACCGUAAGAGAGCAAAUUCGUCUUGUUUUAACCCACUAAAUGUGUGGUAACUUGAUACGAUAGCAAUAUUGAAUACAAUACUGAAACUAAUACAGUACUGUAUCCAAAUAAAAAAUGUUGGGGGUUUUGUUUUUUGUUUUUAGAGACAAGGUCUCGCUCUGUGGAUCUGGCGUGCUCACAGCUGCCUGAAGCCUGGACCUCCCGGGCUCAAGCAAUCCUCCCACCUCGGCCUCCCAAAGCGCUGGGAUCACAGGCAUAUGCACCACCAUGCCCAGCCCAGAAUAACAAAUGUUUUAAAUCCACACUUUUCCGAAUGAAUUUGGGCAAGAGUCUAGGGCUUGGAUUCUGCCCUGGAGUUAAACUUUCACUCCUUCAACAAAAUAUCCUUUUGUAUUUAGGUCUUAGACGCAAAGCUUUAACUAUAACUCCACCUUAUAAAUGUAUCUGCAUCCAUGGAUUCCCUAUGAGCAAGAAAGCCUCAUGCACACGAGAUCAGCUUUCUAACGAUAACUGAGUAAUUAAUGAAUUACAAGCAAAACAAUGACAGCAAACAUUUAUUAAACCCUACAUGCUAAGGGCUGUUCUGUAGGCUUCACGUGAAGAAACAUGUAAUAACACCGUGGGGAGGGCAGAAUUUUUAUUCUCAGUUUACAGAUGAGGAAACUGACGCAAACAGAGGCUAGAUGUCUUCCUGUAACAAACCCACUUACUGACAGUCUCCUCCAAGACACACCCCCACACACACCAUUUGAACACAGAGAUCCUAGCGAAUGUGUCGUGACUGCCGCUGCCAGACACUGCUGAGAGUGCUCCAGAUCAACUCACCCAUUUAAUCCUCAGGACAACCCAUGAGGCGGUACUGUGAUCGCCCCACUUUACAGAUGAGAGGACAGACACACAGAGCCACGGAAACCAGCCCCGGGUCACACAGCUGGGAAGGGGCCGUGACUUUCCUACUCAGGCCCGCGGCACACAGAGCCCCAGAGAAAGGCUCAGGAGAAGGGAGACGCGUGGGACUAAUGGUCUUGGAAGCACAGCCGGGGUGACGGAAGCAGUGACAGCAUCUUCAUGCAGCCAGAAGCCGCUGACUCUACGAAGAAUGGAAGACGGCCUUGAGUGCUUUCCAGGUACUGGCACAUUGCCAAGGCCUCUCACGUCCCCCUUCCUGCCUGAAAAUCCACUGUUCAUGUGCUACUUCUGCCGGAGGUUUAGAUAAGAGGAGGGAGUACACAGUUUUCUGAAGGUUUGAACUUCACUAAGGAAAAAGAAUAGCCUGUACAAAUGUCAAAGCCCGAAGUGAAAACUGAAGUCCUCAGCAUAAGCAGGAACCAUUCCCAGAUGGGAGGGAAAGUGCCUAGGAAGUUGCUGAGUCCACACUCAAGUUGUUGUUUGAUAAGUUUUACAAAAUGACAAAGAUUGGGCCAUAGACAGACAUAUUUGAUGUACAUUCUGGUAUCUGCAGAUUUGAUCAGGUACAAAAUUUUUAAGCCAUAUUGAUUAUGAGACAUGUUUUGGUAUUUGCAUAUAUAUAUAUAUUUUGAGACAGAGUCUUGCUCUGUUGCCAGGCUGGAAUACAGGAGCUCAAUCUUGGCUCACUGCAACCUCUGCCUCCUGGGUUCAAGUAAUUCUCCUGCAUCAGCCUCCCAAGUAGCUGGGACUACAGGUGCGUGCCACCACACCCAGCUAAUUUUUUGUAUUUUAGUAGAGACGGGGUUUCACCAUGUUGGCCAGGAUGGUCUCGAUCUCCUGACCUCGUGAUCCACCCGCCUCAGCCUCCCAAAGUGCUGGGAUUACAGGCAUGAGCCACUGCUCCCAGCCUGGUAUUUGCAUAUUUGAUCAGGUAUAUAAUUUUUAAGCCAUUUUGAUUAUGAGAGUACAGGAAAAACAUAAACUAUACUCUGGAAAUGUAUAUGUGUAUAUUCCAUACAUACACCCCAUAUGCAUCCCACAUGUAGAUUCCAUGUAUACUCCAUGUACAUAUGACAAAAGAGCUGAUGUAUCAAAACUUCUUUUGAGAUGGCUAGAUUUAUUUUUCUAUAUUUUAAGUUUACAAAAUGCCUUUGUUUGUUGGAUUUUUCAUAAACUGGCUCCUUGCCUGAGCCGUGUGUGGAAGAGUUCUUUUAAUUUCAUAGCUUCUAAAUGUUAGCUUCUAAAUAAAUGUUGGCUACAUGAAAGAGGGGUCCUUUAUAAAUCCACGAACAAAAAUCAAAGUGUAGGAAACAAAACACACCUUUGAAUUUUAUUUCAUCUUUCUCUUGCAAGUUUCAAUCCAGGAAAGGAACCCUGUGCAGUCUGAUUUUUUCUUUUUAUACUUUAAAUUCUGGGAUACAUGUGCAGAACAUGCAGGUUUUAUACAUAGGUAUACAUGUGCCAUGGUGGUUUGCUGCACCCAUCAACCCAUAAUUUACAUUAGGUAUAUCUCCUAAUGCUACCCCUCCCCUAGCCUCCCACCCCACAAAAGCUCCAAUGUGUGAUGGUCCCCUCCCUGUGUCCACAUGUUCUCAUUGUUCAACUCCCACUUAUGAGUGAGAACAUGCAGUGUUUGGUUUUCUGUUCCUGUGUUAGUUUGCUGAGAAUGAUGGUUUCCAGCUUCAACCAUGUCCCUGCAAAGGAAAUGAACUCAUUCUUUUUUAUGGCUGCAUAGUAUUCCAUGGUGUAUAUGUACCACAUUUUCUUUAUACAGUUUAUCAUUGAUGGGCAUUUGGAUUGGUUCCAAGUCUUUGCUAUUGUGAACAGUGCUGCAAUAAACAUACAUGCACAUGUAUCUUUACAGUAGAAUGAUUUAUAGUCCUUUGGGUAUAUACCCAGUAAUGGGAUUGCUGAGUCAAAUGGUAUUUCUGGUUCUAGAUCCUUGAGGAAUUGCCAUACUGUCUUCCACAAUGGUUGAACUAAUUUACACUCCCACCAACAGGGUAAAAGUGUUCCUAUUUCUCCACAUCCUCUCCAGCACUAGUUGUUUCCUGACUUUUUAAUAAUUGCCACUCUAAC